rnacentral:rRNA from 1 species
UAAUAGAUACCCCGGUAGUCCACGCCCUAAACGAUGCGAACUGGAUGUUGGGUACAUUACGGUACUCAGUGUCGAAGCUAACGCGUUAAGUUCGCCGCCUGGGGAGUACGGUCGCAAGACUGAAACUCAAAGGAAUUGACGGGGGCCCGCACAAGCGGUGGAGUAUGUGGUUUAAUUCGAUGCAACGCGAAGAACCUUACCUGGCCUUGACAUCUGUCGAAUCCUGUAGAGAUGCGGGAGUGCCGCAAGGAACGACAAGACAGGUGCUGCAUGGCUGUCGUCAGCUCGUGUCGUGAGAUGUUGGGUUAAGUCCCGCAACGAGCGCAACCCUUGUCCCUAGUUGCCAGCACGUAAUGGUGGGAACUCUAGGGAGACUGCCGGUGACAAACCGGAGGAAGGUGGGGGAUGACGUCAAGUCCUCAUGGCCCUUACGGCCAGGGCUACACACGUACUACAAUGGUCGGUACAGAGGGUUGCGAAGCCGCGAGGUGAAGCCAAUCCCAGAAAAACCCGAUCCCAGUCCGGAUCGGAGUCUGCAACUCGACCG